rnacentral:lncRNA from 1 species
GCAGGGACUUGUAUGGUGGGGUGGUUCAAACUGGACCUUUGCUUUAUUGGGGAUCCAGUGGAGAGACCAGAGCAAUGGAGGGCUGUGUGUGUGUGAUUCUAUAGAAUGCUGAUCCCUGGGGGUAGUCGGAGGCUUGAACGUGGGUGUGCUGUGGACAUGCGCUCCCCUCAGGGAUUAAUCCUGCAGCUGGAAUGUUGAGACAAACUCCUCCGGUGCCCAGAGAAGAGACCGAGGAGGAGAACGAGACGGAGACGAACCCGAGCUCAAGCUCGAACCUGUUCCCAGAGACGAUGCCUGCGUCCCGGCCGACCCGACUCUCCCAGCCCCCCUGACCUGCUCAAAACCUCAUCCUGCCUGUUCCCUGGUCCCCCUUUUCCAUCCCCUUCCUUCCCACCCGUUGUAAGGGCAAAUAAAAGCCUUCAUCAACAGGCAACUGCACCUCUUGCCUCCUGCCUCAUCUCUUACACACACACAUACUGCACAAGGACCAACUUCUACAGGCCUACAGUGUCGCAAAUACAUGGGUACAAACUGUACGCCAAAAGGUUGCAACAUAUUGCAUCUAUGUAUGAUCA